rnacentral:rRNA from 1 species
AGCGAACGCUGGCGGCAGGCCUAAACAUGCAAGUCGAACGCCGUAGCAAUACGGAGUGGCAGACGGGUGAGUAACACGUGGGAACGUACCCUUGGUUCGGAACAACACAGGGAAACUUGUGCUAAUACCGGAUAAGCCCUUACGGGGAAAGAUUUAUCGCCGAAGGAUCGGCCCGCGUCUGAUUAGCUAGUUGGUGAGGUAACGGCUCACCAAGGCGACGAUCAGUAGCUGGUCUGAGAGGAUGAUCAGCCACACUGGGGACUGAGACACGGCCCAGACUCCUACGGGAGGCAGCAGUUAGGAAUCUUGGACAAUGGGCGCAAGCCUGAUCCAGCCAUGCCGCGUGAGUGAUGAA